UCCAACCUGCCCACCACUUGGGGAUAACCUUGCGAAAGUAAGACUAAUACCCAAUGACGUCUCUAGAAGACAUCUGAAAGGGAUUAAAGAUUUAUCGGUGAUGGAUGGGGAUGCGUCUGACUAGCUUGUUGGCGGGGUAACGGCCCACCAAGGCGACGAUCAGUAGGGGUUCUGAGAGGAAGGUCCCCCACAUUGGAACUGAGACACGGUCCAAACUCCUACGGGAGGCAGCAGUGAGGGAUAUUGGUCAAUGGACGAGAGUCUGAACCAGCCAAGUAGCGUGCAGGAAGACGGCCCUAUGGGUUGUAAACUGCUUUUAUAAGGGAAUAAAGUGAGUCUCGUGAGACUUUUUGCAUGUACCUUAUGAAUAAGGACCGGCUAAUUCCGUGCCAGCAGCCGCGGUAAUACGGAAGGUCCGGGCGUUAUCCGGAUUUAUUGGGUUUAAAGGGAGCGUAGGCCGGAGAUUAAGCGUGUUGUGAAAUGUAGACGCUCAACGUCUGCACUGCAGCGCGAACUGGUUUCCUUGAGUACGCACAAAGUGGGCGGAAUUCGUGGUGUAGCGGUGAAAUGCUUAGAUAUCACGAAGAACUCCGAUUGCGAAGGCAGCUCACUGGAGCGCAACUGACGCUGAAGCUCGAAAGUGCGGGUAUCGAACAGGAUUAGAUACCCUGGUAGUCCGCACGGUAAACGAUGGAUGCCCGCUGUUGGUCUGAAUAGGUCAGCGGCCAAGCGAAAGCAUUAAGCAUCCCACCUGGGGAGUAC
rnacentral:rRNA from 1 species